rnacentral:rRNA from 1 species
ACGGGUGAGUAACACGUAGGUAACCUACCCUUCAGUGGGGGACAACAGAGGGAAACUUCUGCUAAUACCGCAUACGAUCACGGACUGGGAUGUUCGUGGUGAAAGGAUUUAUUCGCUGAGGGAUGGGCCUGCGGCCUAUCAGGUAGUUGGUGGGGUAAUGGCCUACCAAGCCUGCGACGGGUAGCCGGACUGAGAGGUCGAUCGGCCACACUGGAACUGAGACACGGUCCAGACUCCUACGGGAGGCAGCAGUGGGGAAUAUUGCACAAUGGGGGAAACCCUGAUGCAGCGACGCCGCGUGAAGGAUGACGGCCUUCGGGUUGUAAACUCCUUUUGUCGGGGACAAUGGUGAUGGUACCCGACGAAUAAGCCACGGCUAACUCUGUGCCAGCAGCCGCGGUAAGACAGAGGUGGCGAGCGUUGUUCGGAAUUACUGGGCUUAAAGGGCGCGUAGGCGGUGGUGUAAGUCUAGGGUGGAAUGCUACAGCUCAACUGUAGAGCUGCCUUGGAAACUGCAUUACUUGAGUCGGUGAGGGGAAGGUGGAAUUCCAGGU